rnacentral:rRNA from 1 species
GUGAGGAAUAUUGGUCAAUGGGCGAGAGCCUGAACCAGCCAAGUCGCGUGAAGGAAGAAGGAUCUAUGGUUCGUAAACUUCUUUUGCAGGGGAAUAAAGUGCGGGACGUGUCCUGUUUUGUAUGUACCCUGAGAAUAAGGAUCGGCUAACUCCGUGCCAGCAGCCGCGGUAAUACGGAGGAUCCGAGCGUUAUCCGGAUUUAUUGGGUUUAAAGGGUGCGUAGGUGGUUUGAUAAGUCAGCGGUGAAAGUUUGCAGCUUAACUGUAAAAAUGCCGUUGAAACUGUCGGACUUGAGUGUAAAUGAGGUAGGCGGAAUGCGUGGUGUAGCGGUGAAAUGCAUAGAUAUCACGCAGAACUCCGAUUGCGAAGGCAGCUUACUAAGCUACAACUGACACUGAAGCACGAAAGCGUGGGGAUCAAACAGGAUUAGAAACCCGGGUAGUCC